rnacentral:tRNA from 1 species
UCUAAUAUGACAGAAUUAAUGUAAUGAAUUUAAGCUUCAUUUAUAAAGAUUUCAAUCUUUUUUUA